CUACGGGCUGCACCAGUGAGGAAUAUUGCACAAUGGGGGGAACCCUGAUGCAGCAACGCCGCGUGGAGGAUGACGCAUUUCGGUGUGUAAACUCCUUUUAUAUGUCAAGAAAAUGACGGUAGCAUAUGAAUAAGCACCGGCUAACUCCGUGCCAGCAGCCGCGGUAAUACGGAGGGUGCAAGCGUUACUCGGAAUCACUGGGCGUAAAGGACGCGUAGGCGGGUUGGAAAGUCAGGUGUGAAAUCCUACAGCUUAACUGUAGAACUGCACUUGAAACUUCUAAUCUAGAGUAUGGGAGGGGGAGAUGGAAUUAGUGGUGUAGGGGUAAAAUCCGUAGAUAUCACUAGGAAUACCUAAAGCGAAGGCGAUCUCCUGGAACAUUACUGACGCUAAGGCGUGAAAGCGUGGGGGGCAAACAGGAUUAGAUACCCUGGUAGUC
rnacentral:rRNA from 1 species